UAUUCCUCAGAUGCCUACGGAUGAUGGAUCUACAGGACCAGCCGCUUGGGCCGAUACUCUUAUGACUCUUGGCAUUCCGACUGCAUCUGAGGACGGGGGAAUUGCAGGACCGGCCGUUGAGCCUGAUACUACUACAGUUCCCGGGGCUGAAAGCCUGCAUAGAAGUAGUGCCUCCC